rnacentral:rRNA from 1 species
UGGGGAAUUUUGGACAAUGGGGGCAACCCUGAUCCAGCCAUGCCGCGUGCGGGAAGAAGGCCUUCGGGUUGUAAACCGCUUUCAGACGGAAAGAAACAGUACAAGCUAAUACCUUGUACGAAUGACGGUACCGUCAGAAGAAGCACCGGCUAACUACGUGCCAGCAGCCGCGGUAAUACGUAGGGUGCGAGCGUUAAUCGGAAUUACUGGGCGUAAAGAGUGCGCAGGCGGCUCUCUAAGACAGGUGUGAAAUCCCCGGGCUUAACCUGGGAAUGGCGCUUGUGACUGGAGAGCUAGAGUGUGGCAGAGGGGAAUGGAAUUCCUGGUGUAGCAGUGAAAUGCGUAGAUAUCAGGAGGAACACCGAUGGCGAAGGCAGUUCCCUGGGCCAACACUGACGCUCAUGCACGAAAGCGUGGGGAGCAAACAGGAUUAGAUACCCUGGUAGUCCACGCCCUAAACGAUGUCAACUAGUUGUUGGGGAAGGAGACUUCUUUAGUAACGUAGCUAACGCGUGAAGUGACCGCCUGGG